rnacentral:rRNA from 1 species
UACGUAGGGGGCAAGCGUUGUCCGGAUUCAUUGGGCGUAAAGAGCGUGUAGGCGGCCAGGUAGGUCGGUUGUGAAAACUGGAGGCUCAACCUUCAGAGGUCGACCGAAACCAUCUGGCUAGAGUCCGGGAGAGGAGAUCGGAAUUCCUGGUGUAGCGGUGAAAUGCGCAGAUAUCAGGAGGAACACCGGUGGCGAAGGCGGAUCUCUGGGCCAUUACUGACGCUGAGGAGCGAAAGCGUGGGGAGCGAACAGG